AAUUAACGCUGGCGGCGUGCCUCAGACAUGCAAGUCGAACGCGAAAGUUCCCUUCGGGGGAUAAGUAGAGUGGCGUCCGGGUGAGUAACACGUAGGUAAUCUACCUUUGGGUGGGGAAUAACAACCGGAAACGGUUAGCUAAUACCGCAUAAUGCAGCGGCACCACAUGGUGACAGUUGUUAAAGCGGGGGAGUCNCAAGACCUCGCGCCUAAAGAGGAGCCUGCGGCGGAUUAGCUAGUUGGUAGGGAACGGCCUACCAAGGCAACGAUCCGUAGCCGGCCUGAGAGGGCGGUCGGCCACACUGACACUGAAAUACGGGUCAGACUCCGUACGGGAGGCAGC
rnacentral:rRNA from 1 species